rnacentral:rRNA from 1 species
UACGUAGGGGGCAAGCGUUGUCCGGAUUUAUUGGGCGUAAAGAGCGUGUAGGCGGCCAUACAGGUCCGUUGUGAAAACUCGAGGCUCAACCUCGAGACGUCGAUGGAAACCGUAUGGCUAGAGUCCGGAAGAGGAGAGUGGAAUUCCUGGUGUAGCGGUGAAAUGCGCAGAUAUCAGGAAGAACACCCGUGGCGAAGGCGGCUCUCUGGGACGGUACUGACGCUGAGACGCGAAAGCUAGGGGAGCAAACGGG